AUGUCGGCAGCGCUUCGAUCCGCGGCGAGGAUGCUCGGCCGUGGCUCCCUGCUCCAGCGAACGGGGGCGGAGGGGCUCUUCUCGCCAAGCAGAAGCAGGCUCGUGCACACCCGUGAGCAUGCUCCUACAGACCUUGCGCGCGAGAUCCAACAGAAGAAAGACGAGCUACGGAGCUUGGUAUCUAAGGCGAUGCGGAACAAAGUGGAGGUGUAUGAUGUGUUAGGUAAGGCAGAUAAGAAUUGUGAGACUCUUGGUAAGCAUGACACGCUUCCACUAGCACUCCAAUAUCGUUCUCGGGGGAAAGUCGUUCCAAAACCACAUGCCACCCUUAGGACCUGGAUGCGGUUCGCUACAAGGGCUGACGCUUUGCUGGAGGCAGCUGCCCACGCGACAAUCUUCGCUUUGGUUAUUGCUUUUGUGGUUAGUGGUAGGGUCGGCAAUGGGGUAAAAGCCCAAACUGUUAAUGAGGAAAACCAGGGAAGUCAAGAUUGA
rnacentral:rRNA from 1 species